rnacentral:rRNA from 1 species
GAUGAACGCUGGCGGCGUGCCUAAUACAUGCAAGUCGAGCGAACAGACGAGGAGCUUGCUCCUCUGACGUUAGCGGCGGACGGGUGAGUAACACGUGGAUAACCUACCUAUAAGACUGGGAUAACUUCGGGAAACCGGAGCUCAUACCGGAUAAUAUAUUGAACGUCAUGGUUCAAUAGUGAAAGACGGUUUUGCUGUCACUUAUAGAUGGAUCCGCGCCGCAUUAGCUAGUUGGUAAGGUAACGGCUUACCAAGGCAACGAUGCGUAGCCGACCUGAGAGGGUGAUCGGCCACACUGGAACUGAGACACGGUCCAGACUCCUACGGGAGGCAGCAGUAGGGAAUCUUCCGCAAUGGGCGAAAGCCUGACGGAGCAACGCCGCGUGAGUGAUGAAGGUCUUCGGAUCGUAAAACUCUGUUAGUAGGGAAGAACAAAUGUGUAAGUAACUAUUCACGUCUUGACGGUACCUAAUCAGAAAGCCACGGCUAACUACGUG